rnacentral:pre_miRNA from 1 species
UUUGUACUCCCUCUGUCCCAAAAUUCUUGUCUUAAAUUUGUCUAAAUACGGAUGUAUCUAGUUAUAUUUUAGUGUUAGAUACAUCCGUACCUAAACAAAUGUAAGACAAGAAUUUUGGGGCGGAGGGAAUACUAC